GCGCUCCAAAAUUAAUAUUCAUAUGAGAACCUGUGAUGUCCAGACGGUGUUCCUCUUGUGUUCUGCUGUAGAAACUUUGGGCUUAGGGAUUAACAUAGUUGCCAUGGUUUUCUCUCUUAUCUUAUUUGUUGUGUGUGAUCAGGACAAUUCUGGAGAAGAUGGGCCUGCAGGGGACAGUCACCCCCUUGCAGGCUUGAAAGAAAUGGGAUAACCUAAAGAAAAAAUACAAAGAUUGCAAGUAUCCAGGCUCAGGAGAGGGGGUCAGUGGGAAGCCCACUGCUGCUACUUGGCCCUGGUUUGCCCUCAUGGAUGAGGUGAUAGGACAGAUGCCUUCCAUUAAGCCUCCUGUCCUAAUGUCCUCUCUCCCCGAGGACACUCCAGGGCCAAGCACAGCAGUGGGUGACCAAAACGACAGCGAUGACGAAGCGGCUCAGCCACCUACGACAGGGAGAAAGAGGAAAAGAGAUGAUGAGCUGCUAGACCUCAUCAGAGAGGACAUGAGGCAGCAAAGAGAGGCUGAGGAGAGGAGAGCAGGGAGAGGACGGACAGACUGUUUUCACUUCUUCAAAGAUUAGUUCCAAAAUGAGAAAUAUUACAGGAAGUCUCUGGCUGUGUUGCUGAAUCUGCUGGAGCAAGAUCAGACGUGGAUGGAUGGGAUGUUGCAACUGAGACCUGCGGUUUGUCUUUUCUGGUCUGCGAGUGGAGAAUCACACAGGGUGGUCUGCAAAGAGCUUUAGGAUGCUUCCUCCCACUGUCCACUGCAUCAUCCAUCCACCGGGUUUGCAGGGCUGGCUCACUCGACGGCUGCCACACCACUAAGAUGUUUUCAGAAAUAUGCAAGCAGGAGAUGAUGGAUGCUUUAUUACUACUAGAAUAAUACUUGUAACUCUGUAGGAGACAACAGAGCAACAUUUCUGGGUCCAUUUUCCAAGUUUUUGCGCUGUGGCGCUAGCGACCAGAAAAACACGGAAGGGCAGACUUGAGGGUAGAAGCCUGUCCAAUUUCACAACCGCUCACUUCCAUCCUACCCUGCCAUAGGAGGCCCCAUUCUACGUGGACCGGAAAAGUGUCACAGAGAGAAAAUGAGUCAAGGGGGUCUCCUGGUGGACACACACAGACAUGACAAGAAGACUUAGGUGCAGAGGGGCAACAAACAGCUGGAAACAGCUGCUGGAAAGGAUUGGGAUGCUUCAGACAAACACACAACGCACACUUUUUUAUCUGACAUUACCCAGCAUGCAUCAGCUGCUCCAUCACAGUGAGAACAGACAGAACAGCCUCAGUGCUGCUGUGUAAACUCACAGACAUUCAUCAACACAGACUCAGUACAGAGGAUGCUUCCUCCCACAGAAAGGAUCCAGCUCAAGUCUCACUGACGUCUCUCAGACGGCAGCACCAGAGCCUACUUUGGUUUCCUCAGCUUCUGCAUUUAAACACGACAAUGCUAGAAGUUUAUUUCACACCAGUUUUUCUUUCUCAUAUUGUUUUAUAGAAAUGUACAAACUGAUGUUGUGACUCUGUGAGAAACCAGCCUCAGUCUGGAUUCAACUUCUUGUUUGCCUUUAAUUCAUGAGAUUCACACAGAUGUUCAUGUAGUGUAGCUGCAGGUCCACAAACUAUCUGAAAAUGUCACGGUGAAGAACUUUGAAUGUAUUUCUGAGCUUUGUGGUUGUUUUUGCUCAUCCAAUCAGCAUCAUUCAUAUUUCCUCAGCAUACACCUGAAUUUGGACACAGUCUUUGUCUCAGUGCUGUUGUUGGUCUUUGUGUGUUUCCUGCUGAGUUUGCUGGAUUUAGCUGUUUCUUUGAAUGGACU